GUUCUUUUAGCUUAUUAAAAGUUUUAUAUUGAAAAUAUAAGGAUAUUAUUUAUAAUUUUGAACA
rnacentral:tRNA from 1 species